rnacentral:rRNA from 1 species
CCUACGGGUGGCAGCAGUGGGGAAUAUUGCACAAUGGGGGAAACCCUGAUGCAGCAACGCCGCGUGAAGGAAGACGGUUUUCGGAUUGUAAACUUCUGUUCUUAGUGAAGAAUAAUGACGGUAGCUAAGGAGCAAGCCACGGCUAACUACGUGCCAGCAGCCGCGGUAAUACGUAGGUGGCAAGCGUUGUCCGGAAUUACUGGGUGUAAAGGGAGCGUAGGCGGGACUGCAAGUUGGGUGUCAAAUCUACCGGCUCAACCGGUAGCCGCACUCAAAACUGCAGUUCUUGAGUGAAGUAGAGGCAGGCGGAAUUCCUAGUGUAGCGGUGAAAUGCGUAGAUAUUAGGAGGAACACCAGUGGCGAAGGCGGCCUGCUGGGCUUUUACUGACGCUGAGGCUCGAAAGUGUGGGGAGCAAACAGGAUUAGAUACCCUAGUAGUC